GACCCUACGGUACCGGAGGUCGAAGAGAAUGCCUUCCAAAAAGAGAUGAGCCUCCGUCUGGCAUACUAUGGAGGAAACCUCCCAGAGGGGAUCUUGGCCAGAACCAUCUCGGAGGUACAAGCAUAUCUCCUUGCUCAGAGAGAUUGGGUAAACCGAUCCCAACCCCACGAAUGUCGGGCUGGGGAAGGGUUCCCAAGGGGUUCGGCAGCUACCGAACAAAAGCCCAAAUUUCCAAAUGAUUUUGCAGAAUCAGAGGAGGGCAAACUGAUGACAUUUUGCAAGAUUUUGAGCGCCUCUCCUUACUGCAUAGCAUUGCCCCAUAGGAUUGUGUCUCCCUUUUGGCAGGGAAGCUAACUAAUGGUGCGGACGCCUACCGAGC